rnacentral:rRNA from 1 species
AGUGAACGCUGGCGGCGUGGAUUAGGCAUGCAAGUCGAGCGAGAACCGUAGCAAUACGGGGACAGCGGCGAAAGGGACAGUAAUGUGUAGGUACCUACCCCGAGGUCUGGGAUAGCUGCGGGAAACUGCAGGUAAUACCGGAUAAUGUCUUCGGACCAAAGGUGUGAUUCCACCUUGGGAGGGGCCUGCAUCCUAUUAGCGAGUUGGCGGGGUAAUGGCCCAACAAGGCAACGGUGGGUAGCGGGUGUGAGAGCAGGAACCGCGUCAUUGGGACUGAGACACUGCCCAGGAACAUACGGGUGGCUGGAGUCGAGGAUCUUCGGCAAUGGGCGAAAGCCUGACCGAGCGACGCCGCGUGCGGGAUGAAGGCCUUCGGGUUGUAAACCGCUGUCGUAGAGGAGGAAAUGUAGGGGGGUUCUCCCUUCUGUUUGACCUAUUCUAGGAGGAAGUACGGGCUAAGUUCGUGCCAGCAGCCGCCGUAA